GACGAACGCUGGCGGCGUGCUUAACACAUGCAAGUCGAACGAGUGGCGAACGGGUGAGAUAUACGUGUGUAACCUGCCCUCUUUUUGGGAUAAGCCUUGGAAACGGGGUCUAAUACCGGAUAACGGGGGAUGGGCUCGCGGCCUCUCAGCUUGUUGGUGGGGUGAUGGCCUAACAAGGCGGUGACGGGUAGCCGGCCUGAGAGGGUGACCGGCCACAUUGGGACUGAGAUACGGCCCAGAGUACGACGGGAGGCAGCAGUGUGGGAUAUGGCACAAUGGGCGAAAGCCUGAUGCAGCGACGCCGCGUGGGGGAUGAAGGCUGUCGGGUUGUAACACCGUUUCGGUAGCGAACGGGUAGGUGGAGAAGAAGCGCCGGCUAACUACGUGCCAGCAGCCGCGGUAAUAC
rnacentral:rRNA from 1 species